CAGAAAUACUUACAGCCUGUGACGAGGUCCGGUCCUGACUGUCCCCACUCCAAGUUCAAGCUCAGCUGACGUUGUCUCUCCAUCACUCCUCCUCUUUCUUUCCAGACCCUUCACCUUCCAUCCGGAACACACUCCCCUGAAUGGCUCUCUAUAGGAAUUACUCCUCAGAGUCAUCAUGCCCUACAUAAGCCCUUAGCAAAACCGCCACCCUAUUCUCUGUGGGUGAAAAACAGAGUGGAUCCUGAGUCCUCGAAUGUACAGGAAGAGGAGAACUGGUCAAGAGGAGGCUGGGUGGUCACGUUGUCCAGUGCCCAUGAUCCAGAAGCAGCUGUGGGCAGGGAGGAGGCUGAGUGACAGUUUAGCUCAAAGUAUCCCCAGUGGACACAUUCCCCAGUGGGACUGCUACAAACGGGGUGGCCUUCCCCCCAGGGAAGGGGAGAGAGGAGGCUGUCUGAAGAAUGAGGCUUCUUACAGGGACAUCAAACUGCACAUAAAUAGACGCACUGUGCUUUUUAUUUGAAUAUUAAUUGGCGUUGAUGAACAGCAUGUGUCUGUUACACUGGCAAUUAGUUACCAGUGAGGUCCUGGGAUGGCACAGUGCUCCUGUAAUUCUGAUAUGGAGGUUCCUGGAACACGCAUGGAGCUCUCCCCAAAGCGGCUGUCCUUGCAGAGAGGGCGCCUGCCUGUAUCUCUGCAGAGGUCAUCCAUUUGCCUUUUCAUGGAUGUGCUAAGUAACAACCCACAGGACUGAUUCUAACUGUAUCACCCAUUUAGGGGGGAGCCAUCUGUGGGUCAAAGAGUCCUGUGAGUCCCCGGGUGCUUCAACCAUUCCUGGGUUCAGGGGUUUAAGGAGAAUAGGAGGAAAGUGUCCCCCCAUUUCCUUGCCCUUUUGCGAAGCUGGGGACCAUUCUUGGGCAUCUGUCCUCAGAGGGAAGAAUGAGGGAGGCAGCCUGGACAUGGGAGGGCCUGUAAUUCUAGACAGGGCAGGGUCCAACACACCGGCCAUCUGGCCAGGGGACACCCCACAGUGCUGGGUUGGCUGCUUGGGAUCUCCUGUUACCUCUGGCCAGCGUCCAGGCAGACCCAGCCGGGUGCGGGUGCACUGUGGGCUCAUGUCACCGUACGCAGAGUAGCGUCCAGUUCUGGACUGGGAGCCCUUUGAGGAGGUCUGCCUAGCCCUGCCGGUCUGCGUGUGCCCCGCCUCCAGCACCAUGCCCGGCACAUAGUAGGUGCUCCAUCUAUGGAAGGAAGGAUCGAGAGAGAGGGAGAGGAGAGGGGCUCAGAGCUCAAGAUCUGCCAGCCACUGAAGGAAGUGGGAAUUCGCUGUCAUUGAACCUGUUAGGGAGGCAUAAAAGGUGGGGUGGGGGCAUUCUCUGGCAGAGCUUCCCUGAGUGGGGCAGCGCCCAUAACCCUCUGUCCAGUAUCUCCUUCCAGCCCCAGCCCCCACCCCAGACCCACCUUCUCCUUCCUCCCCCGUCCUGGGACCCCCCUCCCAGCCGGGCUGAGGCAGGGAGAAGGCACCCUGGCCUCCCGGGCUCUGCUGCAGGGGUGCUCUGAGAGCAGCAGAUGAAAAGCGCCUCUGCUGGGGGCUAAUCCUCCACCUCCACGCUCCCCGUGGCCGCCUCACCCCGCGGCUUAGGCUGAAGGAUCUCGGGGAGUUUUAAAUGGAGGAGAAGGAGCAUUUCUGAUCUCAUUUUCCAGUAUUUCAGCUGUGCCAUAAUCUAUUUACCACACAAUUUGUGUCACUUUGAUAAGCGGCUGCUUCAAGACUGCAUUUAUUAAAAUCAAGAGCGGGGACAGCUUUCAAGUCUCUCAAGAAUUGUAAUAAAUGUUUGAAAUUA